AUGGCUGUCGUCAGCUCGUGUCGUGAGAUGUUGGGUUAAGUCCCGUAACGAGCGCAACCCUGUCCUUAGUUACCAGCACGUUAUGGUGGGCACUCUAAGGAGACUGCCGGUGACAAGCCGGAGGAAGGUGGGGGAUGACGUCAAGUCAUCAUGGCCCUUACGGCCUGGGCUACACACGUGCUACAAUGGUCGGUACAAAGGGUUGCCAAGCCGCGAGGUGGAGCUAAUCCCAUAAAACCGAUCGUAGUCCGGAUCGCAGUCUGCAACUCGACUGCGUGAAGUCGGAAUCGCUAGUAAUCGUGAAUCAGAAUGUCACGGUGAAUACGUUCCCGGGCCUU
rnacentral:rRNA from 1 species